rnacentral:rRNA from 1 species
AUUGAACGCUGGCGGCAUGCCUUACACAUGCAAGUCGAACGGCAGCACGGGAGCUUGCUCCUGGUGGCGAGUGGCGAACGGGUGAGUAAUACAUCGGAACGUACCCUGAAGUGGGGGAUAACGUAGCGAAAGUUACGCUAAUACCGCAUAUUCUGUGAGCAGGAAAGAGGGGGAUCGCAAGACCUCUUGCUUUAGGAGCGGCCGAUGUCGGAUUAGCUAGUUGGUGAGGUAAAGGCUCACCAAGGCGACGAUCCGUAGCGGGUCUGAGAGGAUGAUCCGCCACACUGGGACUGAGACACGGCCCAGACUCCUACGGGAGGCAGCAGUGGGGAAUUUUGGACAAAUGGGCGCAAGCCUGAUCCAGCCAUGCCGCGUGAGUGAAGAAAGGCCUCGGUU